rnacentral:lncRNA from 1 species
GGACUCUAGGAAAUGGGCCACUGCUGGUGGGUGGGGGCUAGAUAGUGUGGUUCUGGGCUGGCCAUGGAGAGUCCCUGUCCUGAGUCAGAAUUCCUUCUUCCUCAUCCGGCCCUCUCCUGGGGCCUGGAGGACUAUCCAACAGGUGUCUUUCCUUUGGGUCAACCUCCUGCGCCAUCAGGUUGAGCUGUAUCAAAGGCACUCACCUGCAUCCCUGUCGGCGACCCUGUCCCUCAAUUCCAGGAGUGAAAGUGUCUGUUGGGGGUGGGGAAGGAGGACAUGUCCUCGAAAAGCAU